rnacentral:rRNA from 1 species
GACGAACGCUGACGGUGUGCUUUAGACAUGCAAGUCGAACGAGAAAGCCCUUCGGGUUAGUAAAGUGCGAACGGUGAGUAACACGUGGGCAAUCUGCCCCUCGCAGGGGGACAACCGGAGGAAACUCCGGCUAAUACCCCGUAACGUUCAAAGGGAGGCAUCUCUCUUACGAAGAAAGGUAGCUUCGGCCAUCCGGCGAGGGAUGAGCCCGCGGUGCAUUAGCUAGUUGGGUGGGGUAACGGCCUACCAAGGCGACGAUGCAUAGCUGGUCUGAGAGGAUGAUCAGCCACACUGGGACUGAGACAC